rnacentral:tRNA from 1 species
AUUUGAAUAGUUUAAUAAAAAAUAUUGAUUUGUGGUGUCAAAAAUACUCAAUAUAGAGUUUCAGAUC